ensembl:lncRNA
CAAACUUUUACAGAUGCACAAUCGAGAGCAUCCUGGCUGGCUGUAUCACCGCCUGGUACGGCAACUGCUCCGCCUACAACCGCAAGUCUAGUGAGGUCUGCACAACGCAUCACUGGGGGCUAACUACCUGCCCUCCAGGACACCUACACCACCCGAUGUCACAGGGAGACCAAAAAGAUCAUGAAGGACAACAACCACCCGAACCACUGCCUGUUCACCCCACUAUCAUCCAGAAGGCGAGUGAUUACUUCCUGAGGAGCAUCAGUGAUGGAGCAUCGGGUGGAGGAGCCAUAGCAUCCAUCAAAAUAACAGCAGUGAACUCUGGAGGAAACAGCUUGAACAACGUCUAAUAGCCUUUAGAAGGCAUGCUGGGGAGAAGAUUACAAAAGUACAGGGACAAGCCCAGAGACAAAGUGAUAUGGAGAGGAGAGGGGGGACAAGAUGUGGACAGAGAGGAAGAUAGUUGAAAGGUCAGAGAGAGGCAGACAGGGGGAAAAUGAAAGAAUGCAUAUCCUUUAACUGGAGCCGUGGUGUCAAAGCCAGUUUCCCCAGGAUUGAUGUCAUGAUGAAUCAAUUAAGUCAUUCAUCCACACUCUCACACAAAGGAAAAGCCCCAUCAGCGGCACUUCUAACUUUUCCUUGUGAAAAUAUGCCAAAUAACAACAGUAACAAUAAUGGAAAGAUUAAAGAAAUGGAACUACGCCACUGGCCGGUUCAUAACGUCUGAGAUUUUGAUCUGCCAAACAACCGGGAGAUGAAGGAGGGGCUAGGGGGAUUUUUCUUCACAGGCCCAAUCCGUUUGUUUAGAGGGGGGCUCGAGUUGCAGUAAUAAAGCUGAGCUCUCUCAACUCUCUCAUGGCUCAUACGUGUAAUGCACACGUUAUCAGACGGCAUGGCAAGAACAGUUUGUCCAGACACUUAACCCUAUGUCCUCACUGACUAGCCCCACUGCUAAAUCACCACUCAUAGGACUCUGCUUGUGUGGCAUGGGCCAACCAAGGGGUAUACAGUAUUUAUUAGCAUGUGUUUACUUGUAACAAAGGGAUAUCAAUGCAAAUUGAAAGUAGGCUUAUGAGACGGUAGGCUCAUGAGACAAAGCAAGUGGUAGCUGGAAGUGUUCAGAUGAUGUUGCAAUGAUCCCUGAAAGUCAGAAUAUGUUAUCUAUAUGAAACUUCCCCCUUAGACCCCAUUCAGUUACGUCAAGUUACCUCAUUCUCUUCGGAGUCAGUUUCUGAAUGUUCUUUUUACACUCAUCUGCAUUGGCAACAAGCACCAAGUGUCAACAAGACCCUAUUACUCAAACGACAACUAUGCUGCCUAAUACUACCACUACCACCGCCGCCGCUACCACCACUACUACUACCACCACCACCACUGCUACCAACACUACCACCACCACCACCGCCACCACCACUACUACCACCACUACCACCACUACUACUACCACCACCACCACUACUACCAACACUAUCACCACCACCACCGCCACCACCACUACUACCACCACUACCACCGCCGCCACCACCACUACCACCGCCGCCACCACCACCACUACUACCACCACCGCCACCACCACUACAGCCACCACCACCACCACACUACUGGUACAGUAGUUUACAGUAAGGUAGCCUAGUGGUUAGAGCGUUGGGCCAGUAACCGAAAGGUUGCUGGAUCGAAUCCCCAAGCUAACAAGAUAAAUAUCUGUCGUUCUGCCCCUGAGCAAGGUAGUUAACCCACUAUUCCCUGGGGGCCGAAGACUUGGAUGUCGAUUAUGGCAGCCCCCCGCACCUCUCUGAUUCAGAGGGGUUGGGUUAAAUGCGGAAAACACAUUUCAGUUGAAUCCAUUCAGUUGUGCCAUGAUGAAUGUACAACUGACUAGGUAUCCCCCUUUCUCUAAUGUGCAUCAUAGUCAACAUGAUUGUCUUAAAUCACAUGAAUGAGCGGUCUUCUUUGAACUGCUGUCUCCUCGAUGAUACCAUGUCUACUCCCCUGCUACUCAGAGUGAAAGAGAGAAGAUGUUAGGGGAAACAAAAAGCCCUGUGCCUCCAUCUCCUUUGUGCCUGCGUGUCUCUCCAUCACAGUUAGUCACACAUGAUUAUGCUCUGUCGGCUUCAGACCAAGGGUUGCCGUUUGACUGUAAUAGCAUGACAACCAGUGUCAAUCCAUGCCCAAGCCAAAUGUUUUUCACACUGUUGUGCCUCUGUUUUACAUACAGUUGUUUAUAGACACAUUCUGCUAGAUUAAUGCUUCUCUUGUUUCUGUCUAGAAUGCCAUUUUUCUCCCUCAAUGCAUGUAUGUAUAGUUUUGAUUGGCCUCUACCCCUCCCCAUUCUAUAUGUCCGUAAGGUAAAUGACAAUGUUGUCUGUGAUUGUUAAAUCAGUUUUAGACAAUAAAUCUCGUUUUGUCUGAUUAUCCACACAUUUUGAUAACUGGUGUUAAAGAACGGGUGAUAUUCAAGAGAAGAUGAAAGGCAAGAAAAGAGAGAGGGAGGGGAGAGCAGUAAUGAAGAAAGAGAGAAAGGAGAGGAGAACUAGAAGCAGCCUCAAGUGUCUUCACCUUUAAUCUAUGGAAAUGUAUGGAUCAGAUGAAGCAUAAUUGUACGGUGGACUUUGACUAUUAAAAUAUCCAGAGAGCUUGUUUUAUCAGGGGCCAAAGAUAGAACAGCAGCAAUCGCUAUCCACACAACUGAUGAUGAUGGGUAAGGGCAUUAACUUACCAGGGAGGAAAACAAAUUAAGUCUCUCUUCAGCCGGCGCUCCAUUAGACAAUGGCAUAUAUAAAUAUUUUAUCUUGGCCGAUACAGGUUAGCAAAGGUUUAGUACAUUUCUAUUUACACAAGGACCCACACUCCAAGCUGUAGCCUUCAUCCCCUCUCAGCUCUCCAGCCAAGUGCCUGCAGUCCUCUCCUUCAC